GACGAACGCUGGCGGCGUGCUUAACACAUGCCAGUCGAACGGAAAGGCCCUGCUUUUGUGGGGUGCUCGAGUGGCGAACGGGUGAGUAACACGUGAGUAACCUGCCCUUGACUUUGGGAUAACUUCAGGAAACUGGGGCUAAUACCGGAUAGGAGCUCCUGCUGCAUGGUGGGGGUUGGAAAGUUUCGGCGGUUGGGGAUGGACUCGCGGCUUAUCAGCUUGUUGGUGGGGUAGUGGCUUACCAAGGCUUUGACGGGUAGCCGGCCUGAGAGGGUGACCGGCCACAUUGGGACUGAGAUACGGCCCAGACUCCUACGGGAGGCAGCAGUGGGGAAUAUUGCACAAUGGGCGGAAGCCUGAUGCAGCAACGCCGCGUGCGGGAUGACGGCAUUCGGGUUGUAAACCGCUUUCGCCUGUGACGAAGCGUGAGUGACGGUAAUGGGUAAAGAAGCACCGGCUAACUACGUG
rnacentral:rRNA from 1 species